rnacentral:misc_RNA from 1 species
AUUAUAAAAAGACAAGCAAAACUUUGAUAUAAAAGAUAAAUAGAACCGUGAUGUGACCAAUAAUUUUUCUUGUUUCUACUAAUAUUGCUUUUGUUUAUGGGUCUGGUUUCCAUAAUGGGUAUUUGUCUGUCUAUUUUAAUUUUUCUCUGUAUUCAAUAAAAUUUAGACAAGUCAUACUAUUUUUUUUAUCGGUUCAAAUCAGUGUAGAAGUUAGGAUAUGUAUUUUUUUAA